UACGGGGGGAGCAAGCGUUGUUCGGAUUUACUGGGCGUAAAGGGCGCGUAGGCGGCCAGUGCAAGUCAGUUGUGAAAUCUCCGAGCUUAACUCGGAAAGGUCAACUGAUACUGCUCGGCUAGAGUGCGGAAGGGGCAACUGGAAUUCUUGGUGUAGCGGUGAAAUGCGUAGAUAUCAAGAGGAACACCUGCGGCGAAGGCGGGUUGCUGGGCCGACACUGACGCUGAGGCGCGAAAGCCAGGGGAGCAAACGGG
rnacentral:rRNA from 1 species